UACGUAGGAUGCAAGCGUUGUCCGGAAUUAUUGGGCGUAAAGAGCGCGCAGGCGGUAUGACAAGUCAGAUGUGAAAGAGGCCGGCUUAACCGGCAAGGGUCAUUUGAAACUGUCAGACUAGAGUGCAGCAGAGGAUAGUGGAAUUCCCGGUGUAGUGGUGAAAUGCGUAGAUAUCGGGAGGAACACCGAUGGCGAAGGCAAUCCCCUGGGCCUGCACUGACGCUCAUGCACGAAAGCGUGGGGAGCAAACAGG
rnacentral:rRNA from 1 species